UGGGGAAUUUUGGACAAUGGGCGCAAGCCUGAUCCAGCAAUGCCGCGUGAGUGAAGAAGGCCUUCGGGUUGUAAAGCUCUUUCGGCCGGGACGAAAUCGCCUUUAUGAACACUGAGGGUGGAUGACGGUACCGGAAGAAGAAGCACCGGCUAACUACGUGCCAGCAGCCGCGGUAAUACGUAGGGUGCGAGCGUUAAUCGGAAUUACUGGGCGUAAAGCGUGCGCAGGCGGUUUCGUAAGCCAGACGUGAAAUCCCCGGGCUUAACCUGGGAAUUGCAUUUGGGACUGCGAGGCUAGAGUACGGCAGAGGGAGGUGGAAUUCCACGUGUAGCAGUGAAAUGCGUAGAUAUGUGGAGGAACACCGAUGGCGAAGGCAGCCUCCUGGGCUAGUACUGACGCUCAUGCACGAAAGCGUGGGGAGCAAACAGG
rnacentral:rRNA from 1 species